rnacentral:lncRNA from 1 species
AGAACUUGAGCACAUAAACAGAGUGAACUUUCUACUCUUUCUUCACAACUUUUCUUCCUCAACUCUCCUUUUUUUUAUACUUUUUUUUAUAACUAAGAACAAGAGCAGAUAUAACACUUGCACACACUUUUUUUUGAAACAAGACACAACCGUCAGCGUUCUAACUUGAUAGGAUCAAAGUUUACGCGAAGGAUGAUACCGGUUUCAGAUUUUCUUUAGGGAUUUGUAGAUAUAAAAGAGGCACAAAGGACACACAAAGGAUAUGAUGAUCAGCAACUAAACAAAACUCUAAUGGACUGAAACUUAACCAAACUCACAAGAAAAACAGACUGAAACAAAGGGCUAAUGCAAUUUUUUUAUGGCAUUUUGGUGGAUAGGACGAACAAGAUAUAUAUAUGUAGCUAAGGGUAAAAUUCCUAUCGUGGAAACUUGAGCUUUGAUACCAGAUGGUGAGGUCGUUGUCCCAAUCUUCACGACGUAGGAUGGAUAACUAGCUGAAGAUCAGCCGAUAACUUGCUGCAAGCAGCGAGGAUAACUAGUGCAACCUGACGACACGCACAAGGAGCCAACCACCGUCUCUAUACGGCAGCCUGAACCAAGGAUUCGCCCAACCACAUUCUCAAAGAACCAACCUACGCAACCUGAACUCGAGGAUCAGGAGCAC